UUUUUAUUACGGGGGGACUUUUAUAGUUGAGAAGGUUAAAACCUGACCCUUAGAACCUGGCAGUUAAGACUGGCGUAGGGAGUAAUCGCUUGCGUCUU
rnacentral:ncRNA from 2 species